rnacentral:rRNA from 1 species
AGUGAACGCUGGCGGUAGGCCUAACACAUGCAAGUCGAACGGCAGCACAGUAAGAGCUUGCUCUUACGGGUGGCGAGUGGCGGACGGGUGAGGAAUACAUCGGAAUCUACUUUUUCGUGGGGGAUAACGUAGGGAAACUUACGCUAAUACCGCAUACGACCUACGGGUGAAAGCAGGGGAUCUUCGGACCUUGCGCGAUUGAAUGAGCCGAUGUCGGAUUAGCUAGUUGGCGGGGUAAAGGCCCACCAAGGCGACGAUCCGUAGCUGGUCUGAGAGGAUGAUCAGCCACACUGGAACUGAGACACGGUCCAGACUCCUACGGGAGGCAGCAGUGGGGAAUAUUGGACAAUGGGCGCAAGCCUGAUCCAGCCAUACCGCGUGGGUGAAGAAGGCCUUCGGGUUGUAAAGCCCUUUUGUGAAAGAAAAGCAGCAGGUUAAUACCCCGCUGUUCUGACGGUACCCAAAGAAUAAGCACCGGCUAACUUCGUG